UACGAAGGGGACUAGCGUUGUUCGGAAUUACUGGGCGUAAAGCGUGCGCAGGCGGUUAUGUAAGACAGAUGUGAAAUGCCCGGGCUUAACCUGGGAACUGCAUUUGUGACUGCAUGGCUAGAGUUUGGCAGAGGGGGGUAGAAUUCCACGUGUAGCAGUGAAAUGCGUAGAUAUGUGGAGGAACACCGAUGGCGAAGGCAGCCCCCUGGGUCAAGACUGACGCUCAUGCACGAAAGCGUGGGGAGCAAACAGG
rnacentral:rRNA from 1 species